GUCUAUGGCCAUGCUACCCUGAACAAGCCCGAUCCCAUCUGAUCUCGGAAGCUAAGUAAGGUCGGGCCUUGUUAGUACUUGGAUGAGAGACCACCUAGGAAGACCAGGUGCUGUAGGCA
rnacentral:rRNA from 1 species